GUGCUGUCUGGAAGCACAUGUACUGUGCCUGGAAUAACACAGAGAAGAUUAACAUGGUUCCCACACAAGGGUGACAUCCAAAGUAGAGAAGCAUCCCGUAUUUUA
ensembl:snRNA U6 U6 spliceosomal RNA